rnacentral:rRNA from 1 species
UACGGAGGGGACUAGCGUUGUUCGGAAUUACUGGGCGUAAAGCGCACGUAGGCGGAUUUGUAAGUCAGGGGUGAAAUCCCGGGGCUCAACCUCGGAACUGCCUUUGAUACUGCAAAUCUUCGAGUCCGGAAGAGGUGAGUGGAAUUCCUAGUGUAGAGGUGAAAUUCGUAGAUAUUGGGAAGAACACCGGUGGCGAAGGCGGCUCUCUGGACCGAUACUGACGCUGAGGCGCGAAAGCGUGGGGAGCAAACAGG